GCGGUCCGGCCGGGAACUCAAAGGAGACUGCCAGUGAUAAACUGGAGGAAGGUGGGGAUGACGUCAAGUCAUCAUGGCCCUUACGACCAGGGCUACACACGUGCUACAAUGGCGCAUACAAAGAGAAGCGACCUCGCGAGAGCAAGCGGACCUCAUAAAGUGCGUCGUAGUCCGGAUUGGAGUCUGCAACUCGACUCCAUGAAGUCGGAAUCGCUAGUAAUCGUGGAUCAGAAUGCCACGGUGAAUACGUUCCCGGGCCUUGUACACACCGCCCGUCACACCAUGGGAGUGGGUUGCAAAAGAAGUAGG
rnacentral:rRNA from 1 species